rnacentral:rRNA from 1 species
UGAGGAAUAUUGGUCAAUGGGCGAGAGCCUGAACCAGCCAAGUAGCGUGCAGGAUGACGGCCCUAUGGGUUGUAAACUGCUUUUAUGUGGGGAUAAAGUGCGUGACGUGUCAUGCAUUGCAGGUACCACAUGAAUAAGGAUCGGCUAAUUCCGUGCCAGCAGCCGCGGUAAUACGGAAGGUCCGGGCGUUAUCCGGAUUUAUUGGGUUUAAAGGGAGCGUAGGCUGUCUAUUAAGCGUGUUGUGAAAUUUACCGGCUCAACCGGUGGCUUGCAGCGCGAACUGGUCGACUUGAGUAUGCAGGAAGUAGGCGGAAUUCAUGGUGUAGCGGUGAAAUGCUUAGAUAUCAUGACGAACUCCGAUUGCGCAGGCAGCUUACUGUAGCAUAACUGACGCUGAUGCUCGAAAGUGCGGGUAUCAAACAGG